rnacentral:rRNA from 1 species
GUCCACGCCGUAAACGAUGAGUACUAGGUGUUGGCCCGUCAAGGGUCGGUGCCGCAGUUAACACAUUAAGUACUCCGCCUGGGGGAGUACGUUCGCAAGAAUGAAACUCAAAGGAAUUGACGGGGACCCGCACAAGUAGCGGAGCAUGUGGUUUAAUUCGAAGCAACGCGAAGAACCUUACCUAAGCUUGACAUCCCAUUGACCGCAUGGUAAUGCCUGCCUUCCCUUCGGGGACAAUGGAGACAGGUGGUGCAUGGUUGUCGU